rnacentral:lncRNA from 1 species
GCAAGUUAGCCUAGGGAAAUACCAUUCAUUAAAGGCUCUGGUGUAUUUUGUUUCUGAAUUUUCUGCUCUAAAAUAUUCCUGUGAGUAGGAAGUGAACUUGCCUGUAAGUAACAGGAAGCUGAAAAGAGGGAACUUAAAUUUGAGGUACUAUUAUUAUAAUGUAGCCAGAAGUCUGGAGGUAAGCUGUUCAGAGCUGAUGCGGUGUUUCCAGGCAGCAGGUAGUGAUCCAGGCUCUUUUCUAUUUCUACUCAGCAUGUCCUUAGGGUUGGAGUGUAGUUGCGUGAUCACAGCUCACUGCAGCUUCAAUCCCCGGCUCCAGUGAUUCUCCCACCUCAGCCCCCGAGUAGCUGGGCCUACAGGUGCACAUUACAACACCCAGCUAGUUUCUGCAGUUUUUGUGGAGAGAUCGUUUCACCAUGUUGCCCAGGCAUUUCUCAAACUCCUGUACUCAAGCAAACCUUCCACUUUGGCCCCAAGUACUGGGAUUCAGGCAAGAGCCACCGCGUCUAGCCAAUUAUACAAUUUUUAAAAUAAAUUGAAAUGGUCGUUGAAAAUGUUCAGUAAAAGUUAUAUACUUUCAUCACUUACUUUAGAAAAAUGAGUCAUGUCAGAGUCUGCAGGUCCCAUGCUAUAUUUUGGUUAAAGCAGCACGUAAUAAUAAAUUGUUUUCUUAUCAUGAGAGCAUAAGUCUAAUAAUUAGAAUUUAGCCUCCAGCUUUCUUGGUAGAAUUUCUUUUUUUUUUUUUUUGAGACGGAGUCUCGCUCUGUCAACCAGGCUGGAGCGCAGUGGUUUGAUCUCGGCUCACUGCAAGCUCCGCCUCCUGGGUUCACGCCAUUUUCCUGCCUCAGCCUCCCGAGUAGCUGGG